CAACCAUUUCGCCUUCGGGCUAAGAUUGGUUGUAGUAUCUGUUCUAGAUGGCUUGAUAGGUCAUCUCCUUUCUCCUAUCAACAAUUUUUUGGGGCAGGCGGGGGACACCAAGCUUGCUUGGCCCCCGCCAGUGUCGCCUCUGCCUUUGCACUAACCGCAGAGGAGGGCACAGCCCA
rnacentral:snRNA from 1 species